AAGUCGUAACAAGGUCUCCGUUGGUGAACCAGCGGAGGGAUCAUUACCGAGUUUACAACUCCCAAACCCCUGUGAACUUAUACCUUUACUGUUGCUUCGGCGGGUCAUUGCCCCGGGGAAACGACAGGUGUGGCCGUCAGGUCCCCCUGCCCGACCCCCCGGAAACAGGCGCCCGCCGGGGGACUCAAACUCUUAUGUAUUUUUGUUUACUGUAUACUGUCUGAGUAAAAGUUACAAAUGAAUCAAAACUUUCAACAACGGAUCUCUUGGUUCUG
rnacentral:misc_RNA from 1 species